rnacentral:rRNA from 1 species
AUUGAACGCUGGCGGCAGGCUUAACACAUGCAAGUCGAGCGGAGAUGAGGUGCUUGCACCUUAUCUUAGCGGCGGACGGGUGAGUAAUGCUUAGGAAUCUGCCUAUUAGUGGGGGACAACAUUCCGAAAGGAAUGCUAAUACCGCAUACGUCCUACGGGAGAAAUCAGGGGAUCUUCGGACCUUGCGCUAAUAGAUGAGCCUAAGUCGGAUUAGCUAGUUGGUGGGGUAAAGGCCUACCAAGGCGACGAGCUGUAGCGGGUCUGAGAGGAUGAUCCGCCACACUGGGACUGAGACACGGCCCAGACUCCUACGGGAGGCAGCAGUGGGGAAUAUUGGACAAUGGGGGGAACCCUGAUCCAGCCAUGCCGCGUGUGUGAAGAAGGCCUUAUGGUUGUAAAGCACUUUAAGCGAGGAGGAGGCUACUGAGACUAAUACUCUUGGAUAGUGGACGUUACUCGCAGAAUAAGCACCGGCUAACUCUGUGCCAGCAGCCGCCGUAACAC